AGGUGCGCUUGCAUGGCAGGUCAUCGAAAAAAAAUAAAAUAGUAUUAUUUUGGUUUUGAGGAAGAGACCGCACGGGAUUUGCCCGGGGUUUCUUCCUCGCUGGUGUGUGUUUUCUUCUCGUUCUCUCUUACUCUCAGUUCGUCUCUACAUCUUCAACCGCCAUCAACUGCUUCUCGGAUUUACCUGAUUUCCCGCCGUUUAUGCCAAGGUAUUUUCUGACGAUUCUCUUACACUUUUACCCAACCAUAAGAGAGGAUGAAAAAUAAUUAUUCACACAUCUGCAUCCAUACUUAAAUCUGCUAACGUUCAUUCACACACACAACUGCAUCAAUACUUAAUAACGUGCUAAUUUAUUCACCCAAUUGCUCAUGUUUUCUUAUUUACAAUUAACGGGUGACGGUUUUGGUCUAAAAUCAAUCCUCAAAUUAUCGUCUCAAAUUGUACUAUUCUUCUCAAUAAUCUGAGACUUGGUGUCACAAUUUCUUCGAAACAUUCCAUAACGUACUAUAGUCCUGGUCCUUAUAUUUUUGACAUAUUUGUCAGUGCUCUAUGCAAUAAUAAGUGAUUUUUACCAGUUUUUCAAGCGUACAAAUUAAUAUUUUUAAUACUAUCGAUUAAACUAAAUUUUGGUGUUUAUCAAUCUUUACCAACUAAUUUUGUCAAGAAUCGACCUUCUUUUGAAUUUUUUUUAUCGGUGGCAAUGUCUUUUAAAAAAAGAAUGGUUCUAAAGUUCAGUACAUAACUACAUUAAUUGAAGUUUAUCCCAAUAGCGAAAUUAUGUUCUAUAUUCCUUUCAAUAACUGUUCGGGAGCGCGCCCAUUAGCGACUACCUGCGUGAAAGUAUUGUACUUUCCAAAUUCUAUUAUAACUUUUAGCUUGCAAUUUGAGGCAUUGUGUUCAUUAUUUCGCUGCUCGAUGUUUAUUUAUGUUUCAUUUCUUUUUCUUGCCAGAGUGUGAUUUUUAUUUUGAUUAUUAAGAACAUUUUGUUGUGGAAGUCUAGGUCUGUAUUUUGCGGGCUUCCCGUUGAUUGGAAGUCUUGUAAGAUUUUUCAGUAGUGAAGUACGUACGUCGGAACUUAUAUUUGUCUUUAGUUAAGCUUUCCUAGAUUAUUAUUAUUAGUAGAUUGGGAUGAUUUCCUCACUGCUUGCUCGAUAGCCAAGAUGCGUUGCUGAAUGUCAAGCAAUUUUGCUAUGGAGAAUGAUCAUUGCUCAUGGGUGGAAGGAAGAUGGAAACUGGAAGGAGCCACAGCUCGUGUCUAACAUGUCUUUGAGAAAUGGAAGGUCUAUAAUACUUUCGAACUUUUAAUUUCUUCUGAAUUGAGCAUGAUUGAUGCCUAUACUUUAUCACCAAUGAAAUCUCCGAGUAUGGUUAUGUUUUUUUAUUAUGUAGGUGUGACUAUGGAGAACUCCUCUGUUUUGUAGGGAUGUAGUGCAAUAGUACAUUGAUUCUUUUUAGAGAUUUGGUUUAUGGAGUUUCGGAGUAUCUUGUUUUGUUUGUCUGGUCUUGAUCAUGUUAGAUCUUUGUUGAUUUAUUAUGAAGCCGUGUUACUGAUUUUAAGGUGGGUCUUCAUUUGGUUUGUAUUAAUCUCUAAUGCGGUUCUAAUAUGCAUGACUACUUGGUUUCUUAAGUUUUGUGCGACUUGUUAACUUUAAAAGAUGGUUGAAAAACAAUUUU
rnacentral:misc_RNA from 1 species